GUGAGGAAUAUUGGUCAAUGGACGAGAGUCUGAACCAGCCAAGUCGCGUGAAGGAAGACGGUUCUAUGAAUUGUAAACUUCUUUUGUGCAGGAAUAAAGUGGGUUACGUGUAACCUUUUGUAUGUACUGUACGAAUAAGGAUCGGCUAACUCCGUGCCAGCAGCCGCGGUAAUACGGAGGAUCCGAGCGUUAUCCGGAUUUAUUGGGUUUAAAGGGUGCGUAGGUGGAUUGAUAAGUCAGCGGUGAAAGUUUGCAGCUUAACUGUAAAAUUGCCGUUGAAACUGUCGGUCUUGAGUGCAAAUGAGGUAGGCGGAAUGUGUUGUGUAGCGGUGAAAUGCUUAGAUAUAACACAGAACUCCGAUUGCGAAGGCAGCUUACUGGGAUGCAACUGACACUGUUGCACGAAAGCGUGGGUAUCAAACAGGAUUAGAAACCCCGGUAGUCC
rnacentral:rRNA from 1 species